UACGUAGGGGGCAAGCGUUGUCCGGAUUUAUUGGGCGUAAAGAGCGUGUAGGCGGUUUGGUAGGUCCGUUGUGAAAACUCGAGGCUCAACCUCGAGACGCCGAUGGAAACCAUCAGACUAGAGUCCGGAAGAGGAGAGUGGAAUUCCUGGUGUAGCGGUGAAAUGCGCAGAUAUCAGGAAGAACACCGGUGGCGAAGGCGGCUCACUGGCUCGUUUCUGACGCUCAGGCGCGACAGCGUGGGGAUCAAACAGG
rnacentral:rRNA from 1 species